rnacentral:rRNA from 1 species
UACGAAGGGGACUAGCGUUGCUCGGAAUCACUGGGCGUAAAGCGCAUGUAGGUGGUUUGGUAAGUCAGGUGUGAAAGCCUCGGGCUCAACCCGAGAAGUGCAUUUGAUACUGCUGAACUUGAGUAUGUGAGAGGGUAGUAGAAUUCCUGGUGUAGUGGUGAAAUACGUAGAUAUCAGGAGGAAUACCGGUGGCGAAGGCGGCUACCUGGCACAGUACUGACACUGAGAUGCGAAAGCGUGGGGAUCAAACAGG